GCCAGGCGUGGUAGUGGGUGCCUGUUGUCCCGGCUACUCGGGAGGCUGAGGCAGGAGUAUCGCUUGAACCCAGGAGGCGGAGCUUGCAGUGAGCCGAGAUCACACCCCUGCCCUCCAGCCUGGGGUGACAGAGCGAGACUCCAUCUCAAAAAAAAAAAAAAAAAAAAANNNNNNNNNNUUUUUUUUUUUUUUUUUUUUUGAGAUGGAGUCUCGCUCUGUCACCCCAGGCUGGAGUGCAGGGGUGCGAUCUCGGCUCACUGCAAGCUCCGCCUCCGGGGUUCAAGCGAUACUCCUGCCUCAG
rnacentral:SRP_RNA from 1 species